UAUUUCAUGUUUUUAUUUCAAAAGAAAAAAGGAUACCAAGAAGCAGAAGAAUGAAGCAGUUAAAACCAGCAAAGCUGCAAAGUAGGAAAGAAAGCUGAGGGAGAGAUUGAUCCGAUUUCAACGAUGUGGCCACUUAAUGCAAACACAGGGGUCUGAUGCUGCAAACCUAAGUCACAUGAGUCCAGUGACUUCAGCAGGUCCACUGAUCCACCACAGUGACAGGGCCAGGCCCCUUCCUGCUGAAUCCUAACUUUACACAUUCUAGACACAUGUCAUGCACAUACAGGUUACACUUUAUGGUUACAUGAAAUUGCAUGCAAUUCACACAGAGAAUCAUUUUGAAGGCACUGUAUUUUGCAGCAGGAGCUGCUACUUUCUGGCAAGUCCUUCCUAGGUUGGCUCACAAGUGGUCCUCCUUUUUAUUUUGUGACUAUCCAUCCUUUUGGACCAUAAGAAAUUCACUUUUAAAUUUUUUCUACUGUGCUGUUCUACUAUAUACUUUUGGUCUAUCAACUUGGUAGGCCUGAAAAAAAAAAGUAUUUAACCUUCUAAAUCUCAUAAUAGAAAUUAUGUACGUUGUUCUUUAACCAGAAAGGUUCACUGCUGACUCCCCCACCUCUCAAAAAACAAACAAACAAACAAACACCACCAAAGCUUUCCGCCAUUCAUGCACAUGCUUAUUCUGACCCCAACCCCAUCCCUACAAAGGGGCAGCAGACAGCACAAUAGUCAAGGACAAGGUUUUUAUUUAUUUAUUUAUUUAUUAUUUAUUUAUUUAUUUUUUAAGGAGACAGGCCUCGCUAUGUUGCCCAGGCUGGCCUCCAACUUUGGGCUCAAGUGAUCCUUCUGCCUCAGCCCCCCGAGUCGCUGUGCCUAGGAGCACGCACCACCACACCUGGCUUAAGUAGAAGGUUCUGAAAUCUGCCAGAGGCUGAGCAACAGAAAGCUUCCAAUGAGAACUCAGAAGGCAUUCACUCUGCCUGAAGUUGUGCUCUGCUCACAGCACGAGUGUGGCUGUCCCUCUCUCGCUCCCACCAGCUACAUAAUAGGGACUUUCAGGAUGCUCCUAUAAAUACAGACUCCAGAGAGGUUUCCUCAAAAAUUAAAAAAAAAAUUCUAUGCAAAUAUGUAAGUACUGUCAUUGAGGAUUACAGAAAUACUUUGCAUCAACUACAGAUGUCUCAAAAUAGAAUUCUUUCUAGCUCAUUCAGUUUUGUUAGAAACACUUCAUGUUCUCCAAAAAAGAAAAGCACCUAACGAAAAGCAUGUCCUAUUCAUGCUAGCAAGAAAUGAAUCCCAAAGGACACGCACCAAGAACCAAAGUAAAAGAAUGUCAGCAAAACAGGACCCAUCUUUUAUCAUCCCAAACUGCUAUUUCCAUCUCUGACUUUCUGCCAAAUUAUCUUUAUCUUCCUAAGACGAAGCAAAGACUCAGAGCCCUCAAAUGGCACGGAAGCGGCACCUGGUCUGCCAAGACAUUGCUGUUAAACAGAGUCUUUUGGAUUAAAACCAGGGAACUCGGAAGGAAUGACUACAUGGAUAUAGAUGGAUAAGAUGGAAGAUAUAAAAUAAGAAGGGCAGGAGGGUAAGAUUAUUCCUUUUUUCCUUUCAAGGCUGACAGUGAUAGAAUAAACAGCAGCACAGCAGGUUCAGAUGAUAUGAAAACCACUGAAUUCUGCCCAGGAAUUGAAAGAAGGGCUUCUUCACUUCAUCGAGCUCUGGAAAGUCUGUUUACUUAGAAACAGCUCUUGAACUACAAGAGUCAAAUGGACCUUCUGCUAUUCAUAUAAUUGGAGCAUGGAUCUCGUGUGGUCCCAUUACAUGAUUGGAAUCAGUCUUUCUGAACGGCAGAAUGUGCUUCCAGGUUGAAGCACAAUGGAGAAUGUACUGAAGCCACCACAGAGAUGCUGGUAAUUCAAACUGUGAAAGCACGUGGCGCAGAGGAAACUGACACAGAACAGCACACCACUGGUGCUUUAUGCAACACCACUGACCCCAAGAUGGUCACUCCAUUGAUUUUUCCGCAUUGUUUACAUCCAGGAUGCAUGCUGUCCAGUGCAAUAGCGUCUAUGACUAUAAAACAACUAAAAGCUGCACUUAAGAUGGGAGAGCCAAACUCAGAUCUUUUUUCUCCUUCUCUUCAAAGAUCAAAAGAAGAAUAAACCAAAAAAGAUUAAAAAAAAAGAAUAAACCAACCAGUAGCUGCCGAGAAUACAGUGAAAGAGGAAAUUCAGAACUCAACUUUAUCGGGGAUGGGCACGGUCGCUUAUGCCUGUAAUCCCAACACUUUGGGAGGCCAAGGUGGGUGGAUCACCUGAGGUCAGGAGUUCGAGACCAGCCUGGCCAAUACGGUGAAACCCUGUCUCUACUAAAAAUACAAAAAUUAGCCGGGUGUGGUGGCGCAUGCCUGUAGUCCCAGCUACUAAGGAGGCUGAGGUAGGAGAAUCGCUUGAACCCGGG
rnacentral:lncRNA from 10 species